UACGUAGGGUGCGAGCGUUUGUCCGGAAUUACUGGGCGUAAAGAGCUCGUAGGUGGUUUGUCGCGUUUGUCCGUGAAAACUCACAACUCAAUUGUGGGCGUGCGGGCGAUACGGGCAGACUGGAGUACUGCAGGGGAGACUGGAAUUCCUGGUGUAGCGGUGAAAUGCGCAGAUAUCAGGAGGAACACCGGUGGCGAAGGCGGGACUCUGGGACGGUAACUGACGCUGAGACGCGAAAGCGUGGGGAGC
rnacentral:rRNA from 1 species